UGGUGAGGGCUUCUACCCAGAAGAGAUGC
rnacentral:piRNA from 1 species